AGGACGAACGCUGGCGGCGUGCUUAACACAUGCAAGUCGAACGAGGUGCUUCGGCACUUAGUGGCGAACGGGUGAGUAACACGUGAGCAACCUGCCCUUGGCUCUGGGAUAGCCUCCGGAAACGGGGAUUAAUACCGGACAUGACCUUCCCCGGCAUCGGGGUUGGUGGAAAGUUUUUUCGGCCAGGGGAGGGGCUCGCGGCCUAUCAGCUUGUUGGGGGGGUAACGGCCCACCAAGGCGACGACGGGUAGCCGGCCUGAGAGGGCGACCGGCCACACUGGGACUGAGACACGGCCCCAGACUCCUACGGGAGGCAGCAGUGGGGAAUAUUGCGCAAUGGGGGAAACCCUGACGCAGCGACGCCGCGUGCGGGAUGAAGGCCUUCGGGUUGUAAACCGCUUCACCAGGGACGAAGCGAGAGUGACGGUACCGUGGGAAGAAGCGCCGGCUAACUACGCGCCAGCACGCCGC
rnacentral:rRNA from 1 species